GCCGGCGUAGCUCAGCGGUAGAGCAUCGCUUUUGUAAAGCGAGGGUCGCAGGUUCAAUCCCUGUCGCCGGCU
rnacentral:tRNA from 1 species